rnacentral:rRNA from 1 species
GGUUAAGCGACUAAGCGUACACGGUGGAUGCCCUGGCAGUCAGAGGCGAUGAAGGACGUGCUAAUCUGCGAAAAGCGUCGGUAAGGUGAUAUGAACCGUUACAGCCGGCGAUGUCCGAAUGGGGAAACCCAGUGCAAUUCGUUGCACUAUCGUUAACUGAAUACAUAGGUUAACGAGGCGAACCGGGGGAACUGAAACAUCUAAGUACCCCGAGGAAAAGAAAUCAACCGAGAUUCCCCCAGUAGCGGCGAGCGAACGGGGAGCAGCCCAGAGUCUGAAUCAGCUUGUGUGUUAGUGGAACGGUCUGGAAAGUCCGACGGUACAGGGUGAUAGUCCCGUACACCAAAAUGCACAGGUUGUGAACUCGAAGAGUAGGGCGGGACACGUGGUAUCCUGUCUGAAUAUGGGGGGACCAUCCUCCAAGGCUAAAUACUCCUGACUGACCGAUAGUGAACCAGUACCGUGAGGGAAAGGCGAAAAGAACCCCGGCGAGGGGAGUGAAAAAGAACCUGAAACCGUGUACGUACAAGCAGUGGGAGCACCUUCGGGUGUGACUGCGUACCUUUUGUAUAAUGGGUCAGCGACUUAUAUUCUGUAGCAAGGUUAACCGUAUAGGGGAGCCGCAGGGAAACCGAGUCUUAACUGGGCGUUAAGUUGCAGGGUAUAGACCCGAAACCCGGUGAUCUAGCCAUGGGCAGGUUGAAGGUUGGGUAACACUAACUGGAGGACCGAACCGACUAAUGUUGAAAAAUUAGCGGAUGACUUGUGGCUGGGGGUGAAAGGCCAAUCAAACCGGGAGAUAGCUGGUUCUCCCCGAAAGCUAUUUAGGUAGCGCCUCGUGAAUUCAUCUUCGGGGGUAGAGCACUGUUUCGGCUAGGGGGUCAUCCCGACUUACCAACCCGAUGCAAACUACGAAUACCGAAGAAUGUUAUCACGGGAGACACACGGCGGGUGCUAACGUCCGUCGUGAAGAGGGAAACAACCCAGACCGCCAGCUAAGGUCCCAAAGUCAUGGUUAAGUGGGAAACGAUGUGGGAAGGCACAGACAGCCAGGAUGUUGGCUUAGAAGCAGCCAUCAUUUAAAGAAAGCGUAAUAGCUCACUGGUCGAGUCGGCCUGCGCGGAAGAUGUAACGGGGCUAAACCAUGCACCGAAGCUGCGGCAGCGACACUAUGUGUUGUUGGGUAGGGGAGCGUUCUGUAAGCCUGCGAAGGUGACCUGUGAGGGUUGCUGGAGGUAUCAGAAGUGCGAAUGCUGACAUAAGUAACGAUAAAGCGGGUGAAAAGCCCGCUCGCCGGAAGACCAAGGGUUCCUGUCCAACGUUAAUCGGGGCAGGGUGAGUCGACCCCUAAGGCGAGGCCGAAAGGCGUAGUCGAUGGGAAACAGGUUAAUAUUCCUGUACUUGGUGUUACUGCGAAGGGGGGACGGAGAAGGCUAUGUUAGCCGGGCGACGGUUGUCCCGGUUUAAGCAUGUAGGCUGGUUGUCCAGGCAAAUCCGGAUAAUCAAGGCUGAGGUGUGAUGACGAGGCACUACGGUGCUGAAGUAACAAAUGCCCUGCUUCCAGGAAAAGCCUCUAAGCAUCAGGUAACAUCAAAUCGUACCCCAAACCGACACAGGUGGUCAGGUAGAGAAUACCAAGGCGCUUGAGAGAACUCGGGUGAAGGAACUAGGCAAAAUGGUGCCGUAACUUCGGGAGAAGGCACGCUGGUGUGUAGGUGAAGCCCCUGCGGGUGGAGCUGAGACCAGUCGAAGAUACCAGCUGGCUGCAACUGUUUAUUAAAAACACAGCACUGUGCAAACACGAAAGUGGACGUAUACGGUGUGACGCCUGCCCGGUGCCGGAAGGUUAAUUGAUGGGGUUAUCCGUAAGGAGAAGCUCUUGAUCGAAGCCCCGGUAAACGGCGGCCGUAACUAUAACGGUCCUAAGGUAGCGAAAUUCCUUGUCGGGUAAGUUCCGACCUGCACGAAUGGCGUAAUGAUGGCCAGGCUGUCUCCACCCGAGACUCAGUGAAAUUGAACUCGCUGUGAAGAUGCAGUGUACCCGCGGCAAGACGGAAAGACCCCGUGAACCUUUACUAUAGCUUGACACUGAACAUUGAGCCUUGAUGUGUAGGAUAGGUGGGAGGCUUUGAAGCGUGGACGCCAGUCUGCGUGGAGCCAACCUUGAAAUACCACCCUUUAAUGUUUGAUGUUCUAACGUUGGCCCCUGACCGGGGUUGCGGACAGUGUCUGGUGGGUAGUUUGACUGGGGCGGUCUCCUCCCAAAGCGUAACGGAGGAGCACGAAGGUUAGCUAAUCCUGGUCGGACAUCAGGAGGUUAGUGCAAUGGCAUAAGCUAGCUUGACUGCGAGCGUGACGGCGCGAGCAGGUGCGAAAGCAGGUCAUAGUGAUCCGGUGGUUCUGAAUGGAAGGGCCAUCGCUCAACGGAUAAAAGGUACUCCGGGGAUAACAGGCUGAUACCGCCCAAGAGUUCAUAUCGACGGCGGUGUUUGGCACCUCGAUGUCGGCUCAUCACAUCCUGGGGCUGAAGUAGGUCCCAAGGGUAUGGCUGUUCGCCAUUUAAAGUGGUACGCGAGCUGGGUUUAGAACGUCGUGAGACAGUUCGGUCCCUAUCUGCCGUGGGCGCUGGAGAAUUGAGGGGGGCUGCUCCUAGUACGAGAGGACCGGAGUGGACGCAUCACUGGUGUUCGGGUUGUCAUGCCAAUGGCACUGCCCGGUAGCUAAAUGCGGAAGAGAUAAGUGCUGAAAGCAUCUAAGCACGAAACUUGCCCCGAGAUGAGUUCUCCCUGAGACUUUAAGUCUCCUGAAGGAACGUUAAAGACGAUGACGUUGAUAGGCCGGGUGUGUAAGCGCAGCGAUGCGUUGAGCUAACCGGUACUAAUGAACCGUGAGGCUUAACCUU